UGGGGAAUAUUGGACAAUGGGCGCAAGCCUGAUCCAGCCAUGCCGCGUGAGUGAUGAAGGCUCUAGGGUUGUAAAGCUCUUUCACCGGUGAAGAUAAUGACGGUAACCGGAGAAGAAGCCCCGGCUAACUUCGUGCCAGCAGCCGCGGUAAUACGAAGGGGGCUAGCGUUGUUCGGAUUUACUGGGCGUAAAGCGCACGUAGGCGGACUUUUAAGUCAGGGGUGAAAUCCCGGGGCUCAACCCCGGAACUGCCUUUGAUACUGGAAGUCUUGAGUAUGGUAGAGGUGAGUGGAAUUCCGAGUGUAGAGGUGAAAUUCGUAGAUAUUCGGAGGAACACCAGUGGCGAAGGCGGCUCACUGGACCAUUACUGACGCUGAGGUGCGAAAGCGUGGGGAGCAAACAGG
rnacentral:rRNA from 1 species